rnacentral:rRNA from 1 species
UGGGGAAUCUUGGACAAUGGGGGCAACCCUGAUCCAGCCAUGCCGCGUGAGUGAUGAAGGCCUUAGGGUCGUAAAGCUCUUUCGCCUGUGAAGAUAAUGACGGUAGCAGGUAAAGAAACCCCGGCUAACUCCGUGCCAGCAGCCGCGGUAAUACGGAGGGGGUUAGCGUUGUUCGGAAUUACUGGGCGUAAAGCGCACGUAGGCGGACCAGAAAGUUGGGGGUGAAAUCCCGGGGGCUCAACCCCGGAACUGCCUCCAAAACUAUUGGUCUAGAGUUCGAGAGAGGUGAGUGGAAUUCCAAGUGUAGAGGUGAAAUUCGUAGAUAUUUGGAGAACACCAGUGGCGAAGGCGGCUCACUGGCUCGAUACUGACGCUGAGGUGCGAAAGUGUGGGGAGCAAACAGGAUUAGAUACCCUGGGUAGUCCACACCGUAAAACGAUGAAUGCCAGUCGUCGGGUAGCAUGCUAUUCGGUGACACACCUAAC